GACGAACGCUGGCGGCGUGCCUAAUACAUGCAAGUCGAGCGCAGGAAGUCGACGGAACCCUUCGGGGGGAAGUCGACGGAAUGAGCGGCGGACGGGUGAGUAACACGUAAAGAACCUGCCCUCAGGUCUGGGAUAACCACGAGAAAUCGGGGCUAAUACCGGAUGGGUCAUCGGACCGCAUGGUCCGAGGAUGAAAGGCGCUCCGGCGUCGCCUGGGGAUGGCUUUGCGGUGCAUUCGAUAGUUGGUGGGGUAAUGGCCCACCAAUGCGACGAUGCAUAGCCGACCGGAGAGCGUGAUCGGCCACACUGGGACUGAGACACGGCCCAGACUCCUACGGGAGGCAGCAGUGGGGAAUCUUCCACAAUGGACGAAAGUCUGAUGGAGCAACGCCGCGUGAACGAUGAAGGCCUUCGGGUCGUAAAGUUCUGUUGUAAGGGAAGAACAAGUGCCGCAGGCAAUGGCGGCACCUUGACGGUACCUUGCGAGAAAGCCACGGCUAACUACGUGCCAGCCGCCGCCGUAAGAC
rnacentral:rRNA from 1 species